GAUGAACUGAGGCUAAGAGAAGAAAUUGAUUGAUGGGAACAUGAAUCGAAUUUCAGAGCUAAGAAGAUUGAGCGAAAUGUGAAGAGAAUUUGGGGAAAUCUUCAGAAGAACUAGAACGGAACUUGAGAAGAAUUUUUAAGGGCUUGGGGGGAAAUUGGAGAAGCAUAUGAGAAGAGAACGUACGUCAAGAAAGUGAAACAAGUGAUAUCUAGUUAAAAGAAAAGUAAGUAUUUCCAAACCUUUUAAAUAUCCAAGAACGUCGUUUUAAAAUGUGACCUCUAUGUGUGAGGAAAUAGUGAAUCUAAUUGAAAUCUGAAAUGGUGGACGGAGCAUCGUCGUUUUCGGGUUCACAAUCCAAGUUUUCAAAUUUUGCCACCUCCAAAGUUUGUUUGCGGAAGUGAAACUGUUCUUAUACGUCAAUCAUGUAAAACCCUUUCCAUUCUCAAGUUGCAAUAAUAGUUCAAUUAAUCAAACGAGAACACGUUGUGCAAUUAUAAUUGAGCAAAUAUAAAAUAUCAUGACCAUGAACCACUGAAACAGAUUUUAUAUCGUAUAGGUAAUAAUGUAGGAAAUUAUUACGUAUGAUAGCGUACAGUGUCGUACCAAGUAACGUGACUACAUAUAAACACAUCACCCGAAAGAAUUGAGGUCCAGGUCUAAAGCCCUGCGAGACCCCCCUUCGCGUUAAAUAAAAGUUAUCUGAUCGGAAGGUGCUGGACGUUUCAGACAGUAAUGAGAUUGUAAUUAAAGUAAAAGUAUGCCAACGCCAUAAUUAAGUGUUAACGACAUAAUAGUGCACUAAUAGCAGCUAGUUUAGUUAAAAAUGUUUAUUAAAAAAAAACGGAAUUUCUGGUAUAGGAGGCGGCGUUCCGCGUUCCACUAUAUUAAUUACAUAAGUGUUUGUUUUACGGUCUAUUGAUACGACCCGCCCAUUUUUUCGCAUUAAAAAUAGUCUCCCGUAUUCAGGUGGAAAAAGGUCUUUAUUCUCAAAAUGCGGAAAUUCUGGCAAGACGCACAAAAGAGCGGUGAGCGAGUCGUUUCGCGUGGGUAUAAGGAGACUUUUUUUGAGUUAAUUUAUAUCCUUAUUAAAAUCCGAAAAUAAGUUUCCUGUUUUUUUUUUCUGUUUACAACCGCCGAUUCCGCAUCCUAAACGGAUUAUUUUUCAACCACAGCUUUAUCUCCCGGUCUAGGAGGCGAUGAUGGUCUUCUGAAGUGGAAACCUACCAAAUUCACUACCGAAAAUAAAUAGCGAUAACAGGAUGGUGUGGUGUUAUCAGUCAAAGUGAAGUAUCUAAUCGCAAGAUAAACAUCUCAAAUUGUAUACCUAACGAAAAUACGAAAGCAAAUAGGUACAUUGUACUCGAAAUAUUUUCUAUGGGAGCCUUUUAUUUAUAUAACCUGGGCGUCGCAGGAACAACGAAUUUUACAAAUUUAUUUUCGUCCAUCUUUGACAGAAAUAUUCUAAUUCUGGUGGGGCUCGAAAUUCCUAAAUUCUUCGUAAACGCACAAAACUAUUUUGCAUAUUCAACAAUUUUAAAUUUCUAAAAAUAUAAAGCGUUUGUUGUGACGCCAUAAACGAAGGCGCGAAUUAACAAAAUAUAUAAACGCAUCGCUUAGCCUAUUUCUAACAAUAGAUUUUUCGGAGGGCAAUGCCGUUUGUAGGUAAAUUAUAUGCAGGCCGAAAAUUUUGGAAGGGUUAUGUCCAGGCCCAGGCAACUUGUUCACCUGUUGACUGUAGGUCAUUGUGGGUUGCUAAAGUUUAUUGAGAGAGGUGGUGGCUAUUGUAUUAUUUGAUGUGUGUGAGGGUAGGUAGAUAGGUAAAUUUGUAGGGCCGUGAUUGUCGAUUUUUUUUUAUAGGCGUGUUGUUUUGGGGGUGAAUCGGAUAUUUUCAGGAACUGGUUCCAUCCCCUUCAACAAGAACAAACUAAGGCUGACCCUUUUGGUAAUUGGUAUGAACACCACAUUUACCUCCUGCCACCUCUGGUAUGUGCCCAACAACCCUUUGGAAGAGUGCUGGAAAUAUACCGUCUCCACCAGGAGCUCUAAAGGGUUCGAACCCCACGUCGUCGAAGUAACGGGGAUGGAUUUCUCGUAUUUGUCCUUUCCUGAAAAAUUUUGGUCCUUCCUGUUCGUGUUCGCUAUUAGUUAGAUUGAAUCAAGGGUUGGAUUGAUAUACUCAAUUAGCAAUUCACCCCUCUUGUUUGUGUCUGUGCUGCCUUGUUGCCACAUUACUUUAUUACUAAGUUUUUCUUCUUUAAAAAAAUACAUAACCAGCUAAACUACUGGUACACAGCUCACAGACUUUACGCUCUUUCAAAAUAAAUCGGUAGAGCCUCGUUUACAAUUAAUUCCAGCUAUUUAAAAGAAAACCCACUUCCACUAAUAUAUUCCCGACGAUUCUCGAAAUUCCAUCAACGUCACCCGAACUGAUAACCACCUGUGUUGCUUAUCUCGCACGUGGCAUUGUUUAUCGCCAGACCAAUUAAUUCUUGUCCGAUAAUAUCUUUUUUUUUUAGUUUUCGCCAACUUUUUGGACAUUUCAGACCGCUGUGCUCCGUUUAAAGUGAAAAUUUAAGUCCAAUUAAAGAAGUGACGUUUACGAAGGGGUUAGUCAGAGUGUUGUGUUUAUCGACCAGUUAUCGUUUAUGCGAUACUUUUCCUUAAGAUCUUCAAGUAUUAGUAAAAGGCAGUUUUCCCACCAUAAACGCCCAAUAUGACAUCUGAAAUUACAAUGAAUGUCGUCUAAAUCGAAAUAACUGAUUUGUACAACGCUGCCAAAGCUGAAUUAUCUCCUUUGUCGUUAAAUCAACCAACAAUCUUCAUUAUCGCUACCACAAAAAAGUCACCAACGCCAGCCAUCAUCGUCUUCGUUUGUUUAUUGAACCUACUUCGAACAUUAACAGUGCAUGUGUCGUAUCGAUCAUCAAACUAAGAUUUAGAAUCAAAUACUAUAUUUGUAUUUUUAAGCAAUAAACACGCUAACC